GCCAGCGUGGUGGAAUGGUAGACACGACGGAUUCAAAAUCCGUUAUCUUCGGAUGUGGGGGUUCAAGUCCCCCCGCUGGUACCA
rnacentral:tRNA from 1 species